UAUGGCCAUAUCACGUUGAAACACCGGGUCUCGUAUUAUCACCGAAGUUAAGCAACGUUGAGCUUGGUCAGUACCUAGAUGGAUGGCCGCUUGGGCAUUACAGGUUCUGUA